rnacentral:lncRNA from 1 species
CUAACUACCUCCAUUUGGUUCGGGGUUAAGGAAAAAAUAGCUAUCUCAGGGAUAGGGUUAAGUUCAAGGUUAAAGUGGGGUUAAAGUUUUUUUGUAUUUGGUUGGAGGUUGGAGUUAGUCUAGAAUAAUGAAAAAUAGUGUUUGGUUGGAGUAGGUGGGAUAAGAAGAUAAUAAUUAAUAAAAAAGGAUAAUGAUUGGUUGGAGUAGGUGGGAUAAGAAGAUAAUGAUUGAUAAAGAAGGAUAAUAAUUGGUUGGAGUAGGUGGGAUAAGAAAGAUAAUAUGAUUAAUAAAGAUAGUAAAAUUACUAAAAUAGCCUCACUGUAAUCAUUUAAAAUAAAUAUUUUAUUUAUUGUUUUAAAUAUUCUAUGCUUUGGGA